rnacentral:rRNA from 1 species
AGUCACUGACAUUAGAUACCCGGGUAGGUCCAGGGUGUAAACGCUGCAGACUUGGUGUUGGAGGCCCUUUGGGGGCAUUCAGUGCCGGAGAGAAGUUGUUAAGUCUGCUACUUGGGGAGUACGUCCGCAAGGAUGAAACUUAAAGGAAUUGGCGGGGGAGCACCGCAACGGGAGGAGCGUGCGGUUUAAUUGGAUUCAACACCGUAAACUCACCAGGGAAGACUGUUACAUGAAGGCCGAGAUGAAGACUCUGCUAGAUUUUCAG